rnacentral:rRNA from 1 species
UACGUAGGGUGCGAGCGUUGCCCGGAAUUAUUGGGCGUAAAGCGCACGUAGGCGGCUUAGCAAGUCGGAAGUGAAAGCCCUCGGCUCAACCAAGGAAGUGCUUUCGAAACUGCUGAGCUUGAGUACUUAAGAGGAUCGCGGAAUUCCCGGUGUAGAGGUGAAAUUCGUAGAUAUCGGGAGGAACACCAGUGGCGAAGGCGGCGAUCUGGGAAGAUACUGGACGCUGAGGUGCGAAAGCGUGGGGAGCAAACAGG